UUCCGGUUGAUCCUGCCGGAGGCUACCGCUAUUGGAGUUCGAUUAAGCCAUGCGAGUCGAGAGUCUUAGGGACUCGGCGCACCGCUCAGUAACACGUGGGUAACCUGCCCUAUGCUGGGGAAUAACCUCGGGAAACUGAGAAUAAUGCCCCAUAGCCCACUACGCCUGGAACGGUGAGUGGGUCAAAGCUCCGGCGGCAUAGGAUGGGCCUGCGCCGUAUCAGGUUGUAGGGGGUGUAAAGUACCCUCUAGCCAUCAACGCGUACGGGUGUUGGGAGACAUUGCCCGGAGGUGGAUUCUGAGACACGAAUCCAGACCCUACGGGGUGCAGCAGGCGCGAAAACUUGGCAAUGCGAGCAAUCGUGACCAGGGAACUCCAAGUGCGUAGGGUAAGACCUACGCUUUUCUUGAUUCUUCAAAGGUCUUGGAAUAAGGGGGUGGGUAAGGACGGUGCCAGCCGCCGCGGUAAUACCGGCGCCUCAAGUGGUAGUCGCUUUUAUUGGGCCUAAAACGUCCGUAGCCGGUCUGGUGCAUUCGUGGGUAAAUCAACCCGCUCAACGGGUUGAAUUCUGCGAGCACGGCCAGACUUGGGACCGGGAGAGGUGUGGGGUACUCUCAGGGUAGGGGUAAAAUCCUGUCAUCCUGAGAGGACCACCUGUUGCGAAGGCGCCACACUAGAACGGAUCCGACGGUCAGGGACGAAACCUAGGGGCACGAACCGGAUUAGAUACCCGGGUAGUCCUAGGUGUAAACGCUGUGGACUUGAUGUUGGGGGUGCUCCGAGCACUCUCAGUGUCGAAGCGAAGGUGAUAAGUCCACUGCCUGGGGAGUACGGUCGCAAGGCUGAAACUUAAAGGAAUUGGCGGGGGAGCACUGCAACCUGAGGAUUGUACGGUUUAAUUGGACUCAACGC
rnacentral:rRNA from 1 species